rnacentral:lncRNA from 1 species
UUAUUCCUAGAUUCCGCUCUCCUACCGAUGACUGUUAAGGAGCCAUCAGUCACUGCCUUCAAAUACCGAAAGAGUGUCGCAGUCGUUGUAUCUGCUGUUGCCAGCUUUUUUAUAUUGCUAUUUCUCGAGAUUCUGGUGUAAUAACAAGAACUACUUGGCAACUGAUACAGUGCAUUGGUUUUUAUUUACUUCCCUUUUUUUGUUCUUUAUCAUUCGUUGUACUUACAUGAACAAAUAGAGCAUGCGCUUUAAAUGAUUGAUUUUGAAAUAAUAAUAAUAAAAAAAAUGAUAGAUCGAUACAGUUUGCUGUUUUAUGUUUUUGUUUUAGUCACCCUAUUUUGCAAUUUUCUAGUAAUUUAAUUCACAAAUAAAAAUCUUAAUAAA